AUUCACCAAAGCACCCUGAACGCACCCAUUCCUGUCAUAUAUCAGAAGCCAAGCAGGUUUGAGCCUGGUUAGUACUUGGAUUGAGGAUAGCCAGAAAUUGUCAAUA
rnacentral:rRNA from 1 species